CAACAGCGUAUAUCAAAGCUGUUGCGGUUAAACAGCUCGUAGUUGGAUUUCUGCUGAGGAUGGUCGGUCCACCCCCGGGUGAGUAUCUGACUUAUCCUUAGCAUCUUGCUGGGGAGUGCUGUUGCACUUGACUGUGUUUAAGAACUAGCGUUUUUGCUUUGAGGAAAUUGGGGUGUUCUAAGCAGGCACCUGCCUCUGAACACAUUAGCAUGGAAUAAGUGUGCGGAGUUUUUGCUUCAUCAUGUCGGUUUCUGGAGCUGAGGUGAAGAUUAGUAGGGUUUGUUGGGGGCAUCCGAACUUAGCUGUCAGAGGUGAGAAUCUUGGAUUUGCGGAAGACGGACAAAUGCGAAAGCCUUUGCCCAAGAUGUUUUCAUUGA
rnacentral:rRNA from 1 species